AUGCAGGAAAAUUGUGUGAAUUGUGGUGUUGUAGAGUGGGUUGAUGGGCCUUGGCCAACUGUUCUUCAGAGAUGUUUGUGCAAGCUAUGGGAGAUGUUCCAUGAGCAGAACUUUGGAAGGGUACAGGACAAGGAGAAGUUUGAGAAGGAGUUGGCCAGGCUUAAGAGUGAACAUGAAAGGGAGUUGGCCAAGCUUAGGACUGAAAAUGACAAGCUUUGCAUUGAGUACACCAAGCUUGUUGAUGAUGUAUCCAAGAUGUUUGAUUGGCAGGAUGGUAGGAUGGACAAGAAGGUGUACUAG
rnacentral:rRNA from 1 species